rnacentral:rRNA from 1 species
UAACCAAUCGAAAGAUUGGCUAAUACCGCAUACGCUCUGAGGAGGAAAGCAGGGGACCUUCGGGCCUUGCGUUAUUCGAGCGGCCAAUAUCUGAUUAGCUAGUUGGUGGGGUAAGGGCCUACCAAGGCGACGAUCAGUAGCGGGUCUGAGAGGAUGAUCCGCCACACUGGGACUGAGACACGGCCCAGACUCCUACGGGAGGCAGCAGUGGGGAAUUUUGGACAAUGGGCGCAAGCCUGAUCCAGCCAUGCCGCGUGUCUGAAGAAGGCCUUCGGGUUGUAAAGGACUUUUGUUAGGGAAGAAAAAGGAGCGGUUAAUACCCGUUUCUGCUGACGGUACCUAAAGAAUAAGCACCGGCUAACUACGUGCCA